AGUUUCAGACUGUGGGACUGAGAUCUGUCUUGAUACUUUAGGACUUCAGUGUUAUCAUUGUUGUGUUCAGUCUGUUGUCUUCUCAGAGCCACAGAUGAUGAUGAAGAUGAUGAAGAUGAUAUCACUGAUUCCACUGCUGAUCACACUGGGGCUCCUGACUCAGGAAUCGUCUGCUGGAGUUGUGACUCAGUCUCCUACUGUCAAGUCUGUUCGUCUGGGAGAGACUGUAUAUCUGAGCUGCACAGCCAGUAAGGGGGUGGGUAAUGACCUGAGCUGGUACCUGCAGAAACCUGGACAGUCCCCUCAACUCCUCUUCUAUAAAAUAAGUCGACGUCAGUCUGAAACUCCUGGUCAUUUCAGUAGCAGUGGAUCUCAACCAGAUUUUACUCUGACCAUCAGUGUAGUCGAGGCUGAGGAUGUAGGAGAUUACUACUGCAUGGGUUCGUACACUGAUGAGAACACAGUGAUUUAGAGUCGUACAAAAACCUCCCUCAGUCAGACUGCCCAGAAACUGUACUGCUACAGCUGGGGCCUACUGCAGCAACAGACUAUUACAUGAAACACUGGUCCACUGAACACACAGCGUCAGACAGUCCCACACCAAGACAAUGUUACUCUGGUUACUCACGACAGGAUCAUAGUUCACCCAACCACCUCCUCUACACAACCACAACCUUUAGUUCACCUCUGGAGUGGUCAGAUAAAAAUGAAUUGUGUAAAACAGACAUCAUUAUUUGUCAAAAAGAACAUGUAGUGUUAGCUCUACUCAUUGUAUUUCUAUCUUUAAUGUUUUAAACGUUUCAUCUCACUGCAGGCUUGAUUUGCAUGGUCAGGGUCAGAUGGUUUAGCUUCUACUAGUUUGGAGAAGUUCUGUCCCCAGGGGGUCGGUCAGACAGAGUCUGAGAGAGUGAGAGAGAUUGAAAAAGCAGAACACACAUUCAACAAAUAGUCAUUUGGUCUGAGGAAGAGAAAUAUAAAUCUGACAAAGAAUUAGAUCUAGCUGUAGAUACAUUUCCAUUUGUUGUCACAGUAAAUAAAUGAGUCAACUAAUCCAUCA